rfam:Candidatus Terrybacteria bacterium RIFCSPHIGHO2_01_FTLL_48_17 rifcsphigho2_01_scaffold_1004, whole genome shotgun sequence.
CUAAUAGAGAGUUUGAUCCUGGCUCAGGAUGAACGCUGGCGGCGUGGAUAAGGCAUGCAAGUCAAGGGGCCUCGCCAUUCGUUAUAGCAAUAUAAUGAGGGCGGGGAACCGGCGAACGAGUCAGUAUUACCUUGGUAUCUCCCCCAAAGACGGGUAUAGCUCAUCGAAAGAUGGGGUAAUCCCCGAUAAUCUCGCAAGAGCAAAGACGCAAGUCACUUUGGGAAGAGCCUCGGUCCUAUCAGGUAGUUGGUGAGGUAACGGCUCACCAAGCCAAUGACGGGUAGGGGGUGUGAGAGCAUGACCCCCGACGAGGGCACUGCGACACGGGCCCUACUCCUACGGGAGGCUGCAGU